UGGCUCAGAUUGAACGCUGGCGGCAGGCCUAACACAUGCAAGUCGAGCGGUAGCACAGAGAGCUUGCUCUCGGGUGACGAGCGGCGGACGGGUGAGUAAUGUCUGGGAAACUGCCUGAUGGAGGGGGAUAACUACUGGAAACGGUAGCUAAUACCGCAUAAUGUCGCAAGACCAAAGUGGGGGACCUUCGGGCCUCAUGCCAUCAGAUGUGCCCAGAUGGGAUUAGCUAGUAGGUGGGGUAACGGCUCACCUAGGCGACGAUCCCUAGCUGGUCUGAGAGGAUGACCAGCCACACUGGAACUGAGACACGGUCCAGACUCCUACGGGAGGCAGCAGUGGGGAAUAUUGCACAAUGGGCGCAAGCCUGAUGCAGCCAUGCCGCGUGUAUGAAGAAGGCCUUCGGGUUGUAAAGUACUUUCAGCGGGGAGGAAGGCGAUAAGGUUAAUAACCUUGUCGAUUGACGUUACCCGCAGAAGAAGCACCGGCUAACUCCGUGCCAGCAGCCGCGGUAAUACGGAGGGUGCAAGCGUUAAUCGGAAUUACUGGGCGUAAAGCGCACGCAGGCGGUCUGUCAAGUCGGAUGUGAAAUCCCCGGGCUCAACCUGGGAACUGCAUUCGAAACUGGCAGGCUAGAGUCUUGUAGAGGGGGGUAGAAUUCCAGGUGUAGCGGUGAAAUGCGUAGAGAUCUGGAGGAAUACCGGUGGCGAAGGCGGCCCCCUGGACAAAGACUGACGCUCAGGUGCGAAAGCGUGGGGAGCAAACAGGAUUAGAUACCCUGGUAGUCCACGCCGUAAACGAUGUCGAUUUGGAGGUUGUGCCCUUGAGGCGUGGCUUCCGGAGCUAACGCGUUAAAUCGACCGCCUGGGGAGUACGGCCGCAAGGUUAAAACUCAAAUGAAUUGACGGGGGCCCGCACAAGCGGUGGAGCAUGUGGUUUAAUUCGAUGCAACGCGAAGAACCUUACCUGGUCUUGACAUCCACAGAACUUAGCAGAGAUGCUUUGGUGCCUUCGGGAACUGUGAGACAGGUGCUGCAUGGCUGUCGUCAGCUCGUGUUGUGAAAUGUUGGGUUAAGUCCCGCAACGAGCGCAACCCUUAUCCUUUGUUGCCAGCGGUUAGGCCGGGAACUCAAAGGAGACUGCCAGUGAUAAACUGGAGGAAGGUGGGGAUGACGUCAAGUCAUCAUGGCCCUUACGACCAGGGCUACACACGUGCUACAAUGGCGCAUACAAAGAGAAGCGACCUCGCGAGAGCAAGCGGACCUCAUAAAGUGCGUCGUAGUCCGGAUUGGAGUCUGCAACUCGACUCCAUGAAGUCGGAAUCGCUAGUAAUCGUAGAUCAGAAUGCUACGGUGAAUACGUUCCCGGGCCUUGUACACACCGCCCGUCACACCAUGGGAGUGGGUUGCAAAAGAAGUAGGUAGCUUAACCUUCGGGAGGGCGCUUACCACUUUGUGAU
rnacentral:rRNA from 1 species